rnacentral:misc_RNA from 1 species
UCCGGUUUGUCACCGGCAGUCUCCCUAGAGUUCCCGGCUUGAACCGCUGGCAACUAGGGACAAGGGUUGCGCUCGUUGCGGGACUUAACCCAACAUCUCACGACACGAGCUGACGACAGCCAUGCAGCACCUGUCACUCGGUUCCCGAAGGCACUCCCGCAUCUCUGCGGGAUUCCGAGGAUGUCAAGGGCAGGUAAGGUGGGGAUGACGUUGAGGAACACCAAC